GGGUCCCUGUCGCGACAGGGGGGGCUCACAGCGAUGCGGCGCCCACUCGUGGUCCCGCUCCUGUCGCGAUACAGGGGCACUGUCGCGACAGGAGCGUCCAUCUUCAUCUUCAUCCAGGGUCCUGCCAGGAUCGGAGCCCUUGCAGAGCGUGGACAGACGUUCUUGUCGCGAUAGACCAUCCCUGUCGUGACACGGGGCACCCCCAUCCUGGUACUGUGGGUCACCCGGUGUGGGGCUCUGGGACAAUGGGGGGGGUCCCUGUCACGACAUGUGGGGCCCUAUUACCAAAAGGGGUCCCUGUCACAACAUGGAAUCGCCCCCGCCCUCGUACCAUGGGUCCCCCAAAACCAUGUGAACACGUGGGGGGAUUCCUGUCGUGAUAAUGGGUCCUUAUCACAAUACGGGGGCUCCUAUCGCGAUAUGAGGUCCCUGUCGGGAUACAGGGGUCUCCCUUUCCUCUGGAUUUCCAGAUCCCCAAGUCAAGGAGGAGAAACGGGUGGGGUUCUCCACCACAACAUGGGGCUCCCUGUCGUGAUAUGGGGGGUCUGUGUCGGGACAGGACCCCAGGCCAGCAGCAGCGGCGCCGCGGGGAGUCGAACCCCGCCCCGGGGGGUCCCGGGGGUGCCACCACCGGCGCCUUUUGCUUUUUUUUCGGCCUUUUUGGGUCCAGAGGAGAAAAAGCAAAACCUGAGAAAACGGGGUAAAGUUUUCUCAGGAAAAGAAAAAACCUCCCGAAACGGGGAAAAAAAAAAAGCAAAAAAAACCUCCCCAAAACGGGUCCGGCCCCGCCCCAAGCGACUUGGGGCAAAAUGUGGGGAAUUUGGGGCCGGAGCGCACCCGAAAACGGGCGGUUUGGGGGGUUUGGGACCCACCACGCGUCCCUGGCGCAAUUUGGGCGGAGAAACGGGAAUUUUGGGUCCGAGUCACGGCCCAGGCGCAAAACAAGACUCAGAAACGGAUUUGGGGUCACGGGCGCAUCCUGGUCGCAAAACGGGGCCGGGAGGAGGAAAUGAGGGCGCAAAAUGGGCUCAGACCGGCGGAUUUGGGGUUAAUCCCGCGCCCCCGGAGCACAGCGAGGUCCGAAAGGAGGAUUUGGGGUUGGCCGCGCGCCCCCGGCACGGGAUCGGCUCCGAAACGGGGUUUGGGGUCCAUCGCGCGCCCCCCUCGCGGCUCGGGCCGAGAACGGGCGAUUUUGGGGCUCGGCGCAUCCCGGGGCCCCGCCGGUACUUACUCUGCUGGCUCACCUGUCUUAUUUUGGGGGGAAUUUCUAGUUUUUUAAGCCUUUUUGGUUUUUUUUUUUUUUUUUUUUUUUCUUUUUUUUUUGAUCACCGGCCCCUCCCGCGCGACGCCUUUGGGUUAAAAACAAAAGAUUUUGGACACUUACUGAGCGGCGCCGGCGGGAGCGGCGGAGCCGGAGGGCGCUGGAGGAAUUUGGGGGGUUUUCCCCAUUUUUGGGGAGUUUAAUAGAAAGAGGGAAGGGGAAGGGGCGACGGCGGCGGCGCCUGAAACGACAGAACCCCAAAACCCCCCAAAUCCCCCCAAAAUUCCCAAACCCCCGGGGGGGUGGGGCCUCACCCGGCCGCUGC
ensembl:lncRNA